UUAAGCGACUAAGCGUACACGGUGGAUGCCCUGGCAGUCAGAGGCGAUGAAGGACGUGCUAAUCUGCGAUAAGCGUCGGUAAGGUGAUAUGAACCGUUAUAACCGGCGAUUUCCGAAUGGGGAAACCCAGUGUGAUUCGUCACACUAUCAUUAACUGAAUCCAUAGGUUAAUGAGGCGAACCGGGGGAACUGAAACAUCUAAGUACCCCGAGGAAAAGAAAUCAACCGAGAUUCCCCCAGUAGCGGCGAGCGAACGGGGAGCAGCCCAGAGCCUGAAUCAGUGUGUGUGUUAGUGGAAGCGUCUGGAAAGGCGCGCGAUACAGGGUGACAGCCCCGUACACAAAAAUGCACAUGCUGUGAGCUCGAUGAGUAGGGCGGGACACGUGGUAUCCUGUCUGAAUAUGGGGGGACCAUCCUCCAAGGCUAAAUACUCCUGACUGACCGAUAGUGAACCAGUACCGUGAGGGAAAGGCGAAAAGAACCCCGGCGAGGGGAGUGAAAAAGAACCUGAAACCGUGUACGUACAAGCAGUGGGAGCACAGAGCAAUCUGUGUGACUGCGUACCUUUUGUAUAAUGGGUCAGCGACUUAUAUUCUGUAGCAAGGUUAACCGAAUAGGGGAGCCGAAGGGAAACCGAGUCUUAACUGGGCGUUAAGUUGCAGGGUAUAGACCCGAAACCCGGUGAUCUAGCCAUGGGCAGGUUGAAGGUUGGGUAACACUAACUGGAGGACCGAACCGACUAAUGUUGAAAAAUUAGCGGAUGACUUGUGGCUGGGGGUGAAAGGCCAAUCAAACCGGGAGAUAGCUGGUUCUCCCCGAAAGCUAUUUAGGUAGCGCCUCGUGAAUUCAUCUCCGGGGGUAGAGCACUGUUUCGGCAAGGGGGUCAUCCCGACUUACCAACCCGAUGCAAACUGCGAAUACCGGAGAAUGUUAUCACGGGAGACACACGGCGGGUGCUAACGUCCGUCGUGAAGAGGGAAACAACCCAGACCGCCAGCUAAGGUCCCAAAGUCAUGGUUAAGUGGGAAACGAUGUGGGAAGGCCCAGACAGCCAGGAUGUUGGCUUAGAAGCAGCCAUCAUUUAAAGAAAGCGUAAUAGCUCACUGGUCGAGUCGGCCUGCGCGGAAGAUGUAACGGGGCUAAACCAUGCACCGAAGCUGCGGCAGCGACGCUGAUGCGUUGUUGGGUAGGGGAGCGUUCUGUAAGCCUGUGAAGGUGUGCUGUGAGGCAUGCUGGAGGUAUCAGAAGUGCGAAUGCUGACAUAAGUAACGAUAAAGCGGGUGAAAAGCCCGCUCGCCGGAAGACCAAGGGUUCCUGUCCAACGUUAAUCGGGGCAGGGUGAGUCGACCCCUAAGGCGAGGCCGAAAGGCGUAGUCGAUGGGAAACAGGUUAAUAUUCCUGUACUUGGUGUUACUGCGAAGGGGGGACGGAGAAGGCUAUGUUGGCCGGGCGACGGUUGUCCCGGUUUAAGCGUGUAGGCUGGUUUUCCAGGCAAAUCCGGAAAAUCAAGGCUGAGGCGUGAUGACGAGGCACUACGGUGCUGAAGCAACAAAUGCCCUGCUUCCAGGAAAAGCCUCUAAGCAUCAGGUAACAUCAAAUCGUACCCCAAACCGACACAGGUGGUCAGGUAGAGAAUACCAAGGCGCUUGAGAGAACUCGGGUGAAGGAACUAGGCAAAAUGGUGCCGUAACUUCGGGAGAAGGCACGCUGAUAUGUAGGUGAAGUCCCUCGCGGAUGGAGCUGAAAUCAGUCGAAGAUACCAGCUGGCUGCAACUGUUUAUUAAAAACACAGCACUGUGCAAACACGAAAGUGGACGUAUACGGUGUGACGCCUGCCCGGUGCCGGAAGGUUAAUUGAUGGGGUUAGCGCAAGCGAAGCUCUUGAUCGAAGCCCCGGUAAACGGCGGCCGUAACUAUAACGGUCCUAAGGUAGCGAAAUUCCUUGUCGGGUAAGUUCCGACCUGCACGAAUGGCGUAAUGAUGGCCAGGCUGUCUCCACCCGAGACUCAGUGAAAUUGAACUCGCUGUGAAGAUGCAGUGUACCCGCGGCAAGACGGAAAGACCCCGUGAACCUUUACUAUAGCUUGACACUGAACAUUGAGCCUUGAUGUGUAGGAUAGGUGGGAGGCUUGGAAGUGUGGACGCCAGUCUGCAUGGAGCCGACCUUGAAAUACCACCCUUUAAUGUUUGAUGUUCUAACGUUGACCCGUAAUCCGGGUUGCGGACAGUGUCUGGUGGGUAGUUUGACUGGGGCGGUCUCCUCCUAAAGAGUAACGGAGGAGCACGAAGGUUGGCUAAUCCUGGUCGGACAUCAGGAGGUUAGUGCAAUGGCAUAAGCCAGCUUGACUGCGAGCGUGACGGCGCGAGCAGGUGCGAAAGCAGGUCAUAGUGAUCCGGUGGUUCUGAAUGGAAGGGCCAUCGCUCAACGGAUAAAAGGUACUCCGGGGAUAACAGGCUGAUACCGCCCAAGAGUUCAUAUCGACGGCGGUGUUUGGCACCUCGAUGUCGGCUCAUCACAUCCUGGGGCUGAAGUAGGUCCCAAGGGUAUGGCUGUUCGCCAUUUAAAGUGGUACGCGAGCUGGGUUUAGAACGUCGUGAGACAGUUCGGUCCCUAUCUGCCGUGGGCGCUGGAGAACUGAGGGGGGCUGCUCCUAGUACGAGAGGACCGGAGUGGACGCAUCACUGGUGUUCGGGUUGUCAUGCCAAUGGCACUGCCCGGUAGCUAAAUGCGGAAGAGAUAAGUGCUGAAAGCAUCUAAGCACGAAACUUGCCCCGAGAUGAGUUCUCCCUGACUCCUUGAGAGUCCUGAAGGAACGUUGAAGACGACGACGUUGAUAGGCCGGGUGUGUAAGCGCAGCGAUGCGUUGAGCUAACCGGUACUAAUGAACCGUGAGGCUUAACCUU
rnacentral:rRNA from 1 species